CAAGGACUAGAGAAGCAUGGGAACCAGAGUAGCACUAUCAGCUCAGCUGUCCAGGCCCUCUCUGGAAAUAUUGAUCCACUCUAGUCCAGAGGCACACAGGAGAUAUCAAAGUCAUAUGUGCAGCUCAAAUCACUUAACAGAACACUGUUUAUGAAAUCGCUCCAUUUUAUUCUUGGCUAGUUAUGUAGCUUACUGGACUGUGACAGAGAGACUUGCUCCAGACAUUCACAGAUCCUAGAUUUGUUUCCCAGAAGCAGUCCAAGGCAACCUGGUGCACACAGCUCAACGUUUCUCCUCAGGACUUCCCCACUAGCUAUUUCCUUACUUUGCUUGGCAGAAGACUCAUCAUUAACAUCUUGACAAAGAAAUGAAGGUAAGUCACCACCUUCCUUACUAUUUGCACUGGGGCAACUCUGACACCUUAAUAAAGUGAAUGGAUUGUAGACUUGCUGCUUAGUCAUGUCCUUCCCAGAGAUAAGGCAGUUGCUCAAUUGGAAAGCCUGGGAGAGCACUGCUCCAUGUUUGAAUCCAGACUUUCACAGGGCCACCGUUGUUCUCAACAAAGGAAAAAGGAGCCUUGACAUGAGACCUCCCCCAUUCCUUUUAUAGUUAGGAAUGCUUUUGCCUGGAGAUUUAUUUUAUUCAUUAUGUUUUACUUUAGUUCCUUUAAAGAACUGAUCAGCCAGUUUUUAUAUUAUUUUUAUUUUAUUUUAUGAGAAGGAAACAACUCAGUUCUAGAAAAUGCUUCCAGGUACAGAAAAAACAACCCAGUAAAACAUGUGUGGCAGAGAACAGCAGCAUCAGCCUCUCCUGGGAGAUAUUCUAGCUUCACAGAAAGCCUGAGGCAAAACUCAUUCAAAUUCUGAGGCAAUUCUCCCUUGAAAUGGGCCAUUCUUGACUCUACUUUUUAUGUGACUCUGGAAUUAAAGCAGAAUUUGUUGUCAUGAGGAUUGGAUGACUGAUGCUUUUUCACAAAAAGGAGCACAGGUAAGUCCAUUGACCUGCACAGAGUACCAAAAUUAUUUAUUUUGGGGCUCAAAAAUCAAAGGUCUACAUUUGAAAUUUUAUCUUUUCUCCACAGAAUGGAAGCCGGCCAUGCCGUUGUUGCAAAUAUCACGCAUAACCAAAAAUAACAGCUGCUGUCCUGUGAUGAGCAUUUACUCUGUGACAGUCACCAUUCUAAGCUCUUCUCACAUGUGGCCUCAUUUCACAGUUGUAAUAAUCCUGGAGGCACUGUUUAAACCCACUUUAUAGGUGAGAUCAAGUUAGUGGCAGAACAAAGAUUCAGGCUUUGUCUCUGUUACUCUGACCUGUGUUCUUACUGCCUACUGAAUUGCAUCCCCUGAAUUACCUUCAUCCUUCAAACAGUUUUGUUCCUUUAAUUAAUUAAUUAAUUUCACAAAUGAACAAGAUGAAUAAUUGUUUUGUUUUGUUUUAAUUUUUAUUGUUGAUUGUUCAAAACAUUACAUAGUUCUUGAUAUAUCAUAUUUCACACUUUGAUUCAAGUGGGUUAUGAACGAAUAAUUGUUUUUUCCAGGACACAGACUCUCAUGAAUUUAGAGCUGUCUUCAGUAUUGAAUUUUCAGGUUUUCCUUUUUACCUAGGUAGAUAUGUGUUAUAAAUUAUUUUCACCUCUACCUUUUCCUUUCAUCAAAUAUUCUCCAUUUCAUAUGUUCCAUAUAAUAUAUAAAUGUAUCAUGUUUAUAAAUUUAUACAUUUGUAAAUACAUAUUUAUGUUAUAUAACACACAUAUAUUGUUCAAAUGUUUGUGUUCUCCCUAAAUUCAUAUUUUGAAAUCCUAAAACACGAGGUAAUAAUAGUAAGAGGUGGGGCCUUCUGGAAGGUGAAUAGGUUCUGAAGGAAAAGCACUUUUGAAGGUGAUGAUUUUUCAGGGGUUCGGGAUAGGAUCAUAAGCAGGUGAGCCAUUGUUAGAUUUUGCUGAUUCAGAAAAUGUUUACAAACUUUCUUGGAGAUUAUGUCUCUUGGCAACCCAAUCCCAUGGCAACCACCCUACACUUGGAGGUCAGAAUAUUCCUCUUUGGUCCAACAGUCUAGCCCUGAACUACUUCUGGACAUAUUGCAUAAGUUCCUCAGUUGGGUGACAUUUGAAUAUUACAUCCGAUCUAUUAGAAGCACACAUUGAAUGUUCUAUUUAUUUUUAACCAAAAAACCAAGCUCCACAUAACUUGCAUGUUUUCAGAGGUCUCCAUUUGCCAAGUCUCCCUCCCCGUGGGUCCAUUUUAGUUUACCUAUCUCAUGCAUGAUUGUGUGUGUGUGUGUGUGUGUGUGUCCUCUUCUACUUUAGGUUUCACUUGGCUUUGUCCUCAAUUAAUGAGAAUUGAACAGGGUGUGUACUCCCAUCUGUUUUAUGACUUUUCCCUCUAAACAGAGACCUGUUGGAAACCUGCUGAAAAGAAGUUCUUCCUGUCUUAUUUUCCAAUAGCAAAGAAUGUCUGUGAUUUCACAAGAUAACCCUACUUCCAAGUAAAUACAAUCAAGUGAUUAUAAUAAAGAAAUUAAUAAAGUAUUAGAAAUCUAAAGGCCAGCAUUUAAUUAAACAGAAAAUACAGAAAUGUUCUUACCAAGCAUUUCUGUUACUGAUACACAGAUCUCUAUCUUACCUUUCUAAUUUCUUCAACAUCAUAGUAAACAUCAUAGUUUUCCAUUUCUAAGUUGUAACUUCACAAGAACAGCAUACUUUAAAAACACAAUAUGAGAACAGUAUUUGAUUUUUAUGUGUUGCACUUCUCCAUUAAAAAACACUUAUGAAGGACAUGCUAUGUGCCAGGUAUGGAGUUUUCAAAAAUAAAUGAGAUAUAACAUUCAUCUUUAAGAACCUCAUAGUUUAGAAAUUAUACUAUAUUUGGCUUGAAAUGAACACUGUUUCUGAAAAUCACUCUCUUUGCAAUGCAAAAAUUGUGGUGAUUUUUAGGAAAUAGGAUGAGUUGUCAGUGCCACUUGCAAGGGGUCAUGGCUCCGGUGAUGAGGCAGGCAUGGAGCACUGGAGCAGGAGCCAGCAGGCUGGGCUUUCAUUCUUCCUCAACACUCACUGUGUUUUCCUGGGCAAGUCACUGAAACUCUAAGCCUCAGAUGCCUUGUCCAAAACAGGUAUAAGAACUACUCUGCUUCCUAAAGCAAUUAUUGUGUGAGGUAUUUAUCAGUUCCAUGAAGGCAGGGAAUUUUGUCUGUUUUGCUCACUCUUGGAACCCUAGCAUCUGAAACAAUGUCUUAAUUGUGAUAUAUGCCCCUCAAAAUAAUUUAUUAAAUAAAU
rnacentral:lncRNA from 1 species